ensembl:lncRNA novel transcript
GGCCGCGGCGGCGGCGGGGGCGCGCACUCCUGCGUGGUCUCGUACUCGUCGUCCUCGGGGAUGCGGAAGGGGCUGGCAGGCAGGCUGCCCAGGCUGCCGCCGAGCGCGCAGGUCCCGCGCCGCGGUCCGGGCCCCGCCGCGGGUAGGCCACCACACAGACGAUGCCCACGACCAGCAGAGCCACGCAGAUGCCCGUGAUGGUCAGGACCCUCUUCUGGUACAGCUCCUCGGCUUCUGCAGAGUGGCCUGGUAGCUGCAAAGAACCUUGGUGGGCCAAGAGGAGUUGUUCUUCCUGGCAGUGAUCAUGGGAAUGCCUUUGUUUACCCCUGCAGCCUGGUCAGGGAGUGGCCCUGGCCCCCUCCAGGCCUGCUAUCUCUGCUUGUGAGAAGCCCGCCAGUGGCACCAUGGACCCCUGGCAUCUAGGAAAGUGCUGGUGUGCAAGGAACAGCCCCCACCGUUGCUGAGGAGC